rnacentral:rRNA from 1 species
UAGGGAAUCUUCCACAAUGGACGCAAGUCUGAUGGAGCAACGCCGCGUGAGUGAAGAAGGUUUUCGGAUCGUAAAGCUCUGUUGUUGGUGAAGAAGGAUAGAGGCAGUAACUGGUCUUUAUUUGACGGUAAUCAACCAGAAAGUCACGGCUAACUACGUGCCAGAAGCCGCGGUAAUACGUAGGUGGCAAGCGUUGUCCGGAUUUAUUGGGCGUAAAGCGAGCGCAGGCGGAAUGAUAAGUCUGAUGUGAAAGCCCACGGCUCAACCGUGGAACUGCAUCGGAAACUGUCAUUCUUGAGUGCAGAAGAGGAGAGUGGAAUUCCAUGUGUAGCGGUGGAAUGCGUAGAUAUAUGGAAGAACACCAGUGGCGAAGGCGGCUCUCUGGUCUGCAACUGACGCUGAGGCUCGAAAGCAUGGGUAGCGAACAGG